rnacentral:rRNA from 1 species
UAGGGAAUCUUCCGCAAUGGGCGAAAGCCUAAUGGAGCAACGCCGCGUGUGUGAUGAAGGGUUUCGGCUCGUAAACACUGUUGUAAGAGAAGAAUGACAUUGAGAGUAACUGUUCAAUGUGUGACGGUAUCUUACCAGAAAGGAACGGCUAAAUACGUGCCAG